CCUACACAUGCAAGUCGAGCGGUAACAGAAAUUAGCUUGCUAAUUUGCUGACGAGCGGCGGACGGGUGAGUAAUGCCUGGGAAUAUGCCUUAKUGUGGGGGAUAACUAUUGGAAACGAUAGCUAAUACCGCAUAAUGUCUUCGGACCAAAGAGGGGGACCUUCGGGCCUCUCGCGCUAAGAUUAGCCCAGGUGAGAUUAGCUAGUUGGUGAGGUAAGAGCUCACCAAGGCGACGAUCUCUAGCUGGUCUGAGAGGAUGAUCAGCCACACUGGAACUGAGACACGGUCCAGACUCCUACGGGAGGCAGCAGUGGGGAAUAUUGCACAAUGGGCGAAAGCCUGAUGCAGCCAUGCCGCGUGUAUGAAGAAGGCCUUCGGGUUGUAAAGUACUUUCAGUAGGGAGGAAGGCGUUGUCGUUAAUAGCGGCUUCGUUUGACGUUACCUACAGAAGAAGCACCGGCUAACUCCGUGCCAGCAGCCGCGGUAAUACGGAGGGUGCGAGCGUUAAUCGGAAUUACUGGGCGUAAAGCGCAUGCAGGUGGUUCAUUAAGUCAGAUGUGAAAGCCCG
rnacentral:rRNA from 1 species